ACCAAGAAGGCAUUUGUCUGCACUUACACUUGCACCUAUACAUGGAUCUCUGAGUUCAUCAGUGCAUGAGAAAACCAGUAAAGACCAAAAGAGGUGCAGGUGCAAAUGCAGAUAAAUGAAACCAUCUUGGC
rnacentral:miRNA from 1 species